AGCUGUGAAGGUCAUCUGGCUGUGUCAUCCGUCAUCCCAUUGAUCACUAGGCUGAUUUGGCAGAUCUGGCUGGGUAGGCAGGUGUCUCCUUCCUGCCUUACUACUCCGUGUAUACUCUUCCCAAAGCUGCACCUUCAGUUAGAGAUGACAAGCUUCCUCAAUAGAGACACAUCAUUCUUCUGUCACCAUUAUACAAGCAGCUGCACUCAUUGACUGGAGCCUUCAAACCAGGACUGAGGUCCAAUAACCCCAUAAACUUAAGUUUCCCAUGGAGAUUAGCUUCCCCU
ensembl:misc_RNA 7SK 7SK RNA